rnacentral:hammerhead_ribozyme from 1 species
AUCCAACUGAUGAGUCCCAAAUAGGACGAAAUGCUCAUCCUGAAU